rnacentral:rRNA from 1 species
GAUGAACGCUGGCGGCGUGCCUAAUACAUGCAAGUCGAGCGAACAGACGAGGAGCUUGCUCCUUUGACGUUAGCGGCGGACGGGUGAGUAACACGUGGGUAACCUACCUAUAAGACUGGGAUAACUUCGGGAAACCGGAGCUAAUACCGGAUAAUAUUUCGAACCGCAUGGUUCGAUAGUGAAAGAUGGCUUUGCUAUCACUUAUAGAUGGACCUGCGCCGUAUUAGCUAGUUGGUAAGGUGACGGCUUACCAAGGCAACGAUACGUAGCCGACCUGAGAGGGUGAUCGGCCGCACUGGAACUGAGACACGGUCCAGACUCCUACGGGAGGCAGCAGUAGGGAAUCUUCCGCAAUGGGCGAAAGCCUGACGGAGCAACGCCGCGUGAGUGAUGAAGGUCUUCGGAUCGUAAAACUCUGUUAUUAGGGAAGAACAAACGUGUAAGUAACUGUGCACGUCUUGACGGUACCUAAUCAGAAAGCCACGGCUAACUACGUG